rnacentral:lncRNA from 1 species
UAACCUAAUCCCUUACCUACAUUUGAAUCGAAAAGUUUUGGAAUCCUUAUUAGCUCAGGUCUAUGCUCUCUUCUAAAUCUGGUACUAUUUAAAUAAUUCUCUCAUUUAUAAAUAGAAAACAUGUGGGUUAAUGAUGAACACUUAUAGAAAUAAGUAGAAUACAAAAAAGAGAUCGAGUUUUACUGUAGCGUGAUCCUAGUCACCAGAAUCGCCACACGCCACCAUACGCGUAUCUUUGAUUUCCUAUGCAUCACUGCAGAGCACUGCUGCUGAAUCAUCAUCCCUAGAGCACCAUUUGGCCAUCGUACAUCACCACGAAACUCUAUGAAUCGAUCGAAAUUCACCACAAAAUGAUUUGUGCACUCAGAUCCAGCGUGCAUAUGGUAAAAUCGCACCAGAAGAAGCCAGGGAUUAACAGAAUUGUGCGACCAACUGUAGUGGAUAUACUUCUUAUUUGAAUGCAUUUUGUCAUAUGAUUCUCCUUCUAGUUUCUAAUCGCGUAGAUCAUCGGCCACUUAGACUCCUCUACUUGUCGUGAGGAAAGUCAUGCACCAUCAUAGACUGCCUCGUACAGGACGAUGGCAGCCCUGGCUCCCCUCACAAGUCUCAUUCUCUCUCUUCACAUAACUCUCUUUCUCUCUCUAUGCACAGAUCUCUCUAUCUCCUCAUGUACGGGAUCUCCAUCCCAUAGAACAAGUCUCUCCUUUUUUGUGGGCAGAGAAGGGGAGCCCUACACAUCUCUUCUUUUUUCUUCUCCAGUGUGCAUGUGUGUUCUUCUACUCCUCCUUCUUAGGCUUCUAGAGGUGUGCAGGCCUCUAGCUGCCACCUUUUUUUUUAUCAAAAUGGCACCAUUUUGGGGUUUUCUAAAAUGACAUCAUUUUGUCCCUUUCUUUUUUUAAUGCCCAGUUUUGGGUUGGGUUUCUAUUUCCUAAGCCGGGGUGUUAUAAUCUCCCUCCCUUAAAAUAAAUUUAGUCCUCUAAAUUUGUAGUGACCAGGUGGUUUGAAGACAUCCUUACCCGUUUCCAUGUUUCUCUAAUUUCGUUAUAAUGUUAUUACUGGUGGAAUCUCUUUAGUUCAUAAUCAGAUCAUUUCUAGCUCUCAUAAUCAAGAUAUACUUGCUAAGAGUGCAUCUCUCAACUCCAAAUGUUAUUUAUGAAUUUAGUAAGAUAUUAGGGUUUUCAAGAGCUUUUCCCACUCGUAUUCAAUGACUUGAUGUCUACAUAGAUUAUCCUUUAACUAACUCAUAUAGUUUCUUUAAUUUUGUAAAAGACUGAAAAAUUCCUAAUAUACCCCUCAUUCUUUAUUCUUCACAUGGAUGUUUUCUUAAUUAUUAAAAUACCCCAAACACUAUGGUAUGUUUACCUU